rnacentral:rRNA from 1 species
CCCUUAGAUGUCCUGGGCCGCACGCGUGCUACACUGACACUUGCAACGAGUACUUUGCUUUACCGAAAGGUAAUGCUAAUCACCAAUAAGUGUCGUGAUGGGGAUAGAUCUUUGGAAUUAUGGAUCUUGAACGAGGAAUGCCUAGUAAGCGUAGGUCAUUAGCCUACGCUGAUUAAGUCCCUGCCCUUUGUACACACCGCCCGUCGCUCCUACCGAUUUCGAGUGGUCCGGUGAAACUUUUGGACCGUGCGUCUUUAUUGUUGUCACGGAAAGUCAGUUAAACCAUACUACUUAGAGGAAGGAGAANUCGUANCA